UUGCUUAAUUAUUCAUUUUAUCAUUAAUUUAUAUGCUAAUUUUUGUGGAAAUUAUUUUCUAAAAGAGAAAAUCUUUAAGCAGUAGAAAGUAUUAUUAAUAUUAAGUUAUUUUAGAUUUGGUAAAUGUUAAAAGGAUUGGUAAAGGCUGUGCCAGCAACCGCGGUUAUACAGUAAAUUCAGAUGAAUAUUAUUGGCUUUAAAAUAAUUAUUAUAAAUUUUAAUAUGAAGAAUAAAUUAUUAUGAGGUGAAAUAUGUAAUAUUUUGAAUUUUAUAUUAAGUAGUAAGAUGUUAUGAAAUUAAAGAUGUAAACUAGGAUUAGAUACCCUAUUAUUUUUAUUGUAAAUUUUAAAGCUUGAGUAUUAGUAGAUAUAAUCUUUAAACUUAAAGAAUUUGGCGGUAUUAUAGUCUAUUUAGAGGAAUCUGUUAUAUAAUCGAUAAUCCGCGAUGAACCUUACUUAUAUUAAUUCUUGUAUACCGCUGUUUAUGAAAAUAUUAUUAGGUAAUUUUCUUAAUAUAAUAGUAAAUAGUAUUUCAAGUCAAGGUGCAGUAAUAUAUAAGUUUAAUAAUGGAUUACAAUAAAAUUUAUUUAUAAUGAAUGAUUAUUAUAAUAUAAUUUGAAGGUGGAUUUAAUUGUAAUUUUAUGAAGAUUGUUAAAAUGAUUUAAUAGCUCUAUAAUAUGUACACAUCGCCCGUCACUCUCGUUAUUAAAAUGAGAUAAGUCGUAACAAAAGUAGGUGUAUCGGAAGAUGUACCUAGAAUGG
rnacentral:rRNA from 1 species